ACCCGCUGCGUUUAAACCAGUCAG
rnacentral:siRNA from 1 species